UUUUAAGUCAAAUCUGCCCAAUGAUUGAAAAUUAAAUGGCUGCAGUAUUUUAACUGUACUAAGGUAGCAUAAUAAUUUGUUUUUUAAUUAAAAACUAGAAUAAAAGAUUUUAUGAAAUAUAUACUUUAUUUUUAAAAAUUAUUUAAUUUAUUAUUUAAGUAAAAAAACUUAAAUAAAUUUAAAAGACAAUAAGACCCUAUAAAAUUUUAUUAUAAAUUAUUUAUAAAAUAAUUAAUUUAUUAAUUUAUAAAUAACUUAUAAUUUAAUUGGGGUAAUUAAAAAAUUCAAAAAACUUUUUUAAAAAAAACAUAAAUUAAUGAAUUUUAUAUUUAAAAAUUUUAAUUAAUAAAAUUAAUUACUUUAGGGAUAACAGCAUAA
rnacentral:rRNA from 1 species